GAAGCAUGACCGUAAGGACAUGUGGACAGUAUGGGAGUGAGAAUGUUGGCAUGAGUAGCGAGAUGUGGGUGAGAAUCCCACAGGCCGUAAACCCAAGGUUUCCAGGGGAAGGUUCGUCCGCCCUGGGGUAGUCGGGACCUAAGCUGAGGCCGAAAGGCGUAGGUGAUGGACAACAGGUUGAUAUUCCUGUACUACCGAUAACCGUUUGAGAGAUGGGAUGACACAGUAGGAUAAGCUAAGCACACUGUUGGUUAUGUGUGCCCAAGCAUUGAGGCAGUCAAAGUAGGUAAAUCCGCUUUGAUAAUGCUGGGAUGUGAUGGGGAGCGAAAUUUAGUAGCGAAGUAGCUGAUUUCACACUGUCAAGAAAAGUCUCUAUCGAGGUUAAAGGUACCCGUACCGCAAACCGACACAGGUGGGUGAGGAGAGUAUCCUAAGGCCAGCGAGAGAACUGUUGUUAAGGAACUCGGCAAAAUGACCCCGUAACUUAGGGAUAAGGGGUGCCACCAUCAGGUGGCCGCAGAGAAUAGGCCCAAGCGACUGUUUACCAAAAACAUAGGUUUCUGCUAAGUCGCAAGACGAUGUAUAGGAGCUGACGCCUGCCCGGUGCUGGAAGGUUAAGGGGAUCUGUUAGAGCAAUCGAAGCAGUGAACUUAAGCC
rnacentral:rRNA from 1 species